ACACUUGUUUCAGUGUCAUCUUUGAGGAAGUAAGAAUAUUUUAUGCGUGGUAUUACAAAAAUCUCUCACGGCAAAGUUCCAUUAAAUAAUUAAUUGAGAAUAUUCGAUGUAAAAUAUGCAGUAAGCAGAAUGUCCGUAUUUUUUCCCGAACAUGACCUUAAUGUACUUCUAGAAACCCAAACGUACACGGCUUCACUCGACAGCAGAGGGCGGUAUUUUUCAGCAUUGUUCAUUAACAUGUAUGUAAGCUUCUGGAUGUAUUAAUCUGUGGAACUCAAAGCAUAUACCUUUUCCCUGAUUUGUUUGGAUUCUAAUACAAGAUCAUGCCCAACCUCAGGGAGACUGCAAUUUCCAGCGAGGAAAGAACAACCUUCUGGACAGCAACCAGUCUGGCUUCAGAAGUGGACAUUGAACUGAAACUGUGCUGCUCUUGGUUGUUGAAGCCCUAAGACUGGCAAGAGCGGCUUUCAAAUCUUCAAUACUUGCUGGAUCUGUCUAUUGGUUCUGCCAUGGUUAACAACCAGAUCUUCCUGUCAACCUUUGGGGCAAAGGGCAUCUCAGGAACAGAACACCACCUCUUAGAUAGGUCCUUCAAGGUUUCUUGGUGGGGCGAGGUGUCCAAGUAACGCAACGUCUAGCUACUGGGGUGCCUCAGGGCUCAAUUCUUGGACCACUUCUUUUUUUCUAUCUACAUGGUAUUAGUAGGUUCUGUCAUUCAGAAACUAAUAUGCAUCUAAUCCAGAACGCAGCAGCAAGAGUAGUCUUUAACAAGCUGAAAAGAGUGCAUGUCACACCUCUGUUCAUCAAAUUGCACUGGAUACUAAUAGCUGCUUGCAUAAAAUUCAAGGCAUUGAUGUAUGUUGGCCUACAAAACAACAGCUAGCAUCACACCCAUUUACCUAAAAUCACUAUUUCACACUUAUGUGCCCUCCAUUAGCUUGUGUUCUGCAAGUGAACGGCACAUUAAUGCCAUCCCAAAGAAGCACAAAAUCAAUUUCACAGACUUUUGCCUUAACUGUUGCCUGCUGGUGAAAUGACCUGCCCAACUCGAUCCGAGCAGCUGAGUCUUUAGCCAUCUUCAAGAAACGACUAAAAACACAUCUCUUCCAUCUUACACUUCACCCUCUAACACUAGAACCUUUUGUUCUAUUUCUGUUCUGUAUACUUGUUUUCUUUUUAUUUAUUAAAAAAGAAAAAAGACCCUCUAACACUAGUGUUCUAUACUUGUUUUAUGCUUUUAUGCUUAUUAUGCUUUUUUAGAAAGUCUUGAUUUUGUUUUGUGGGUGUAUUAGAACAUGCUUUCAUGCUUGGUGGUUCAAAAAACGCAUUAUUUUUCACAUAUUUUACAUUAUUACAAUACCUUUCUCCCCAGCCUGGCACAAAUGGCUCGAUUAGUGCCAGGUUUAAUGAAGGGCCGCCUUCCAAAAAGCGAAAUGUGUUGUGAUUGGUUAGCUGUACCAUUGCGUUUCGAUUGGCGAACAGCUUAGAUGGUGUUUCAGUACUACCACGCCCCUUGCCAAAGCAUAGAUAUAGUUAUAGUUAAU